rnacentral:lncRNA from 12 species
AACAAAAUAAGUUUAUUUCCUCAUGGUUUGAGAGUCCAAAAGUCUGAAAUCAAAGUGUCAGCAGGGCUGUGCUCUCCCUGAAGGCUCAAAGGGAUCAUUGGUUCUGUGCUUUUCUCUUAGCAUGUAUUUGUGACAGUCCUUGGCUUGUGUGUGCAUCAUUCCUGUCUCUGUCGCCUCAUCCCAUGGCCUCAUCCCCCAUGUCUAUCUGCAUGUCCUUUCCUGUCUCUUACAAAGAUUUCAUGGAAUUAGGGCCCACCUCCAUCCAGCACGAUCUCAUCUCCAUCCUCACCUUAAAUUUUGCAAAGAUACUAUUUCCAAAGGAAUCAUAUCAGAUCUGGAGGUUCUGAAUGGGGGGAGGGGGGGGAGGAGGGACUCUUCAACCCACCGCACUCUCUUCCUGUUGCAGUUCCUGUUUGUGAUUAUCACGUGUCUGUGUCAGGUGAUGGUCCUGUCCCUAAGAGUGAGGCUAUCUUCAUUCUGGACCAUCAGCCACUGGUGCCAAGCCCCUCAAGCAAGAACUCCAAGCACAUAUCCAUUAGGGAUCCAGAUGGCUGAGGUUACUGGGUGAGUGGCUCUGGGCCCAGAAAGAUGCUGCUGUGCUUCUUCAUUCUUGCCCCGUAGACUGUGCUACCCCAGAUCCAAGGAGGCCAAGAUCCUCCUCGGGG